GCUGAAAAGUGGAAUCGGAGCUGUUGUAUUGCCUGGGGUGUCUACUGCAGAUAUUUCAUCAAAUAAGGAUGAUGAAGAAAACUCUAUGCACACUACGGUUGUGUUGUUUUCCAGCAGUGACAAAUUCACUUUGAAUCAGGAUAUGUGUGUAGUUUGUGGCAGUUUUGGCCAAGGAGCAGAAGGAAGAUUACUUGCCUGUUCUCAGUGUGGUCAGUGU